AACGAACGCUGGCGGCAUGCCUAACACAUGCAAGUCGAACGAGACCUUCGGGUCUAGUGGCGCACGGGUGCGUAACGCGUGGGAACCUGCCCUUAGGUUCGGAAUAACUCCCCGAAAGGGGUGCUAAUACCGGAUAAUGUCUUCGGACCAAAGAUUUAUCGCCUUUGGAUGGGCCCGCGUUGGAUUAGCUAGUUGGUAGGGUAAAAGCCUACCAAGGCGACGAUCCAUAGCUGGUCUGAGAGGAUGAUCAGCCACACUGGGACUGAGACACGGCCCAGACUGGCGGGGGAGGCAGAAGGGAGUAAUAGUGGGGAGGGGGAGAGAGGCGGAGACAGCAGGGCGGGGUGGGUGAGGAGGACCGUGGGGUGAUCAAGCCAUGUGGCGGGUGAGGGGAAUGGCAGGGCCGGGAGAAGAAGGUCCGGGAACAAGCGUGACAGCAGCGGUGGGAAGAAGAGGGGAGCGCGCAACAAACC
rnacentral:rRNA from 1 species